rnacentral:lncRNA from 1 species
GGUUUGGGAUCGGUGGUAUGAUAUUUCUACACCUUUUUUUUCCUCUCUUAGAGGAUCAACGACUUGUAAAUGAAACUCCCACUACAUACACCAGCUCCUUCUAGUGCUGAUGGUCUUUUUCAAACGUCUACAGCAAUCCUAUUAAAUCAUGGUAGUUCACUACAGGCUUGGUCAUUCUAUAAUGACUCAAGAGGGAUAGGUAGG